GACAGGUGACUACAUCCGGGGACUUUGAAUUACCAUAUAUGGAAGUUAGGGUCGUCUAAAACUGGGAUACAUUGAGUCUUGUUUGUCUUGAGAACAUUGUCUUAAGGAGUUUUUCCGUGACAGAUUUUCGAGGACGUCAACCCGGCUGUACUCCCGUCUUCAGGAUGAAAACUACCCUGGUACUGCUUCUGGCUGUGCUGGUCAUCUCGUCUGAAAUUAUGACCGCCGACAGCUUUGUGAGGGCUGGAAGGGGACUUGAGCGUGCUUCCAAGUCUACCCGUGAGGAAGUGGCGGCCCUGAAGUCGAUGUUGGCCCGCCGACUGGCCGAGGCUGAACGCCGCGAGAUGGCCAGGGAGCUGGAGGACCUGGACGACGACAUGGUGGACAUGAUGGAGGAACUGGAAUAAAGAAAAUGACAGCCGCACCAACCUCGAGAACAUCUCGUGACCGUCACAUGAACAUUGAUGACUGUUAAGCAUGCACAGACAUCUAUAAGUGUAAAUGUUACGAACUGUGGCUGUUUGGAAAUAAAAUAGUUGUUUUUCCUCCUGUUGUAGUUGGCACUAAGAGCAAGAAGAAAUUUGAUGCCAGAAGAAAUAAAAGGAAAUAUGAGGAA